UACGGAGGGUGCAAGCGUUAAUCGGAAUUACUGGGCGUAAAGCGCGCGUAGGCGGCUUGGUAAGCUGGAUGUGAAAGCCCUGGGCUCAACCUGGGAACUGCAUCCAGAACUGCCAGGCUAGAGUAUGGUAGAGGGUAGUGGAAUUUCCGGUGUAGCGGUGAAAUGCGUAGAGAUCGGAAGGAACACCAGUGGCGAAGGCGGCUGCCUGGACCAAUACUGACGCUGAGGUGCGAAAGCGUGGGGAGCAAACAGG
rnacentral:rRNA from 1 species